ensembl:misc_RNA Metazoa_SRP Metazoan signal recognition particle RNA
GCUGGGCAUGGUGGUGCAAGCCUGUAGUCCCAGCUACUCAGGAGGCUGAGGCAGGAGGAUCACUUGAGCCCAGGAGGUGGAGGUUGCAGUGAGCCGAGAUUGUGCCACUGCACUCCAAACUUGGGCAACAGAGGGAGACCCUGUCUCAA